rnacentral:rRNA from 1 species
AGAGCAUAUGAAGGAUGCCUUGGUUCUUGGAGGCGAUGAAGGACGUGUUGAGCUGCGAUAAGCUAUAGGGAGCAGUAAAUAGCUUUGAUCUAUAGAUUUCCGAAUGAGGCAACUCGAUAUUUAGAAGAAAUAUCAUUUCAGUAUUUAUAUUUACUGAAAAGCGAACCUAGGGAACUGAAACAUCUUAGUACCUAGAGGAAAAGAAAAUAAUUAAUGAUUUCGUUAGUAGUGGCGAGCGAAUGCGAAAGAGCCCAAAACAUUAAGGUUCCGGCUUUAGUGUGGUUAUAGGGAUGGAGUUAUGUGUUAAAUGUUAUUACCGAAUCUUUUGGAAUGAAGAACCAUAGAAGGUGAAGGUCCUGUAAAGUAGUGAUAUUUGAUGCUAUCUAUUACCUGAGUAGAACGGUUUCGGUGAAGGACUGUUCGAAUUCUCCUGCAACAUCAGGAAAGGCUAAAUAUUACCAAGAAACCGAUAGUGAACUAGUACCGUGAGGGAAAGGUGAAAAAUAUUCUGAAAAAGAAGUUGAAAUAAAUCUGAAAUUAUAUGCUUACAAGCGGUCGGAGCGGGAGUAAUCCUGUGACGGCGUGCAUUUUGGAUAAUGAUCCUACGAGUUAAUUUCAUUGGCAAGAUUAAGUGUUAUUAAACAUGGAGUCAUAGCGAAAGCGAGUUUUAAAAGGCGAUAAGUCAGUGGAGUUAGACGCGAAACCGGGUGAUCUAUCCAUGAGCAGGAUGAAGUUGCACGAAAGUGUGAUGGAGGUCCGAACCAGUUAGCGUUGAAAAGCUAUUGGAUGACUUGUGGAUGGGAGUGAAAGGCUAAUCAAACUCGGAGAUAGCUCGUACUUUUUGAAAUGUCUGUAGGGACAGCCUCAAUUUUAUUUACACACAGGUAAAGCUACCAAUUAGAUUGAAGGGAGUAAAAUCCUAUUUAAUCUUGAUGAACUCUGAAUUGUGUGUAAUGUUUGUUGGGAGUGAGCUUUAGGGCGCUAAGGUCCUAAAACAAAAGGGAAAGAACCCAGACUAUCUGCUAAGGUCCCAAAAUAUAUGCUAAGUUAAACUAAGGAAGUUUGAUUACCGAGACAGUUAGGAAGUCGGCUUAGAAGCAGCCAUCUUUUAAAGAAAGCGUAACAGCUCACUAAUCGAGUAAUUGAGCGCCAACAAUAAGCGGGUAUUAAGCAUAUUACCGAAGCUAUAGAUUCUAUAUGAAAAUAUGGAGUGGUAAAAAAGCAUUCUAAACGAUGUGAAGUAAAAUGGUGAUGUUUUAUGGAUUGUUUAGAAACGAAAAUGUAGGAAUAAGUAGCGAAAUUAGUGUGAAAAACAUUAACACCGAAUAGCCAAGGUUUCCAUAGCCAUGUUAAUCAGCUGUGGGUUAGUCGGUUUCUAAGUAUUAACUGAAAAGUGAUUACGAUGACAGAAUCGGUUAAUAUUCCGAUACUAAUUAAUAAUAAAUAAGGGAGUACAAAAUUGUGAAAUGUCUGCCUACUGAUGGAAUAGUAGGUUGAAGCCUGUAGAUAUAGGCUUGAUUGGUAAAUCCGUCAGGACUGUCGAAGGUUAUAGUACAAGAGUCCUCGGACAAUUGAUAAUGACAGUAAUCAUGUUUUCAAGAAAAAUCUCUAUUUGAUAAAGAGUUAUUAAUUAACCGUACCGCAAACCGACACAGGUGGCUGAGGAGAGGAUCCUAAGGUGUUCGAGUGAUUCUUGGUUAAGGAACUCGGCAAACUAGCCCCGUAACUUCGGGAUAAGGGGUACCUACUCCUUCUAUAGCAAUAUAGAAGGAUAAGAGGUCGCAGUGAAGAGCGCCAGGCGACUGUUUAACAAAAACACAGGGCUAUGCAAAAUCGUAAGAUGCGGUAUAUGGCCUGAUGCCUGCCCAAUGCUGGAAGGUUAAGAGGAGUGGUCAGGUUUUAAAAGACUAAAGCCGCGAAUUGAAGCCCCAGUGAAUGGCGGCGGUAACUAUGACCGUCCUAAGGUAGCGAAAUUCCUUGUCGGGUAAAUUCCGACCUGCACGAAUGGUGUAACGAUCUGGUGACUGUCUCAACCAAGAGCUCGGCGAAAUUGUAGCAGCGGUGAAGAUGCCGCUUACUUAUAACGGGACAGAAAGACCCUAUGAACCUUUACUAUAACUUGAUACUGAAAAUAUACUUGUUUUGCGUAGCAUAGGUGGGAGGCUUUGAGAUUAUGUUUUCGGACGUAAUUGAGCCAACGAUGAAAUACCACCCUAAGUAAGUGUCUUUUCUAACCUAGAAAUAGGGACAAUGUUAGGCGGGUAGUUUGACUGGGGCGGUCUCCUCCUAAAUUGUAACGGAGGAUUUCAAAGGUACACUCAGUGCGGAUGGCAAUCGUACUCAGAGCGUAAUAGUAUAAGUGUGCUUGACUGUGAGACAUACAAGUCGAACAGGGACGAAAGUUGGAUAUAGUGAUCCGUUUGGUUUCGAAUGUAAGAGCCAUCGCUAAAAGGAUAAAAGGUACUCUAGGGAUAACAGGCUAAUCUUCUUCAAGAGCCCGUAUCAACGAGAAGGUUUGGCACCUCGAUGUCGGUUCGUCACAUCCUGGGGGGGUAAAAUAUCCCAAGGGUUCGGGUGUUCGCCGAUUAAAGUGGCACGUGAACUGGGUUCAAAACGUCGUGAGACAGUUUGGUCCUUAUCUGUUAUAAGCGUUGAAAUUUGAUGGGAUUCGUUCCUAGUACGAGAGGACCGGAAUGAGUAAACCUCUGGUGUAUCGGUUGUGUCGCCAGAUGCAAUGCCGAGUAGCUAUGUUUAUAUAGGAUAAGUGCUGAAAGCAUAUAAGUACGAAACCCACCCAAAGAUAAGAUUUCUUUAUUAAGUUCGUUGAAGAUAACAACGUCGAUAGGUUGCAGGUGUAAAGAUAGUAAUAUCAAAGCUGAGCAAUACUAAUAUACUGAAGAUUUUGAUUC